UAAAAGAUACAAUAUUUUCUGCCCUGCAU
rnacentral:piRNA from 1 species